rnacentral:rRNA from 1 species
GUUGGGAAUAUUGGACAAUGGGGGAAACCCUGAUCCAGCAAUGCCGCGUGGGUGAUGAAGGCCUUCGGGUUGUAAAGCCCUUUUGGCGGGGACGAUGAUGACGGUACCCGCAGAAUAAGCCCCGGCUAACUUCGUGCCAGCAGCCGCGGUAAUACGAAGGGGGCUAGCGUUGUUCGGAAUUACUGGGCGUAAAGGGCGCGUAGGCGGCUGUGCAAGUCAGGUGUGAAAGCCCUGGGCUCAACCCAGGAUGUGCACUUGAUACUGCACGGCUAGAGUGUCGGAGAGGAUGGUGGAAUUCCCAGUGUAGAGGUGAAAUUCGUAGAUAUUGGGAAGAACACCGGUGGCGAAGGCGACCAUCUGGACGACAACUGACGCUGAGGCGCGAAAGCGUGGGGAGCAAACAGGAUUAGAAACCCUAGUAGUCC